rnacentral:rRNA from 1 species
CCUACGGGAGGCAGCAGUAGGGAAUAUUGCUCAAUGGGGGAAACCCUGAAGCAGCAACGCCGCGUGGAGGAUGAAGGUUUUCGGAUUGUAAACUCCUUUUUUUAGAGAAGUUAAUUACGGUAUCUAACGAAUAAGCACCGUCUAACUCCGUGCCAGCAGCCGCGGUAAUACGGAGGGUGCAAGCGUUACUCGGAAUCACUGGGCGUAAAGAGCGCGUAGGCGGGAUAGCAGGUCAGAUGUGAAAUCCUAUGGCUUAACCAUAGAACUGCAUUUGAAACUGUUAUUCUAGAGUAUGGGAGAGGUAGGUGGAAUUCUUGGUGUAGGGGUAAAAUGCGUAGAGAUCAAGAGGAAUACUCAUUGCGAAGGCGACCUGCUAGAACAUAACUGACGCUGAUGCGCGAAAGCGUGGGGAGCAAACAGGAUUAGAUACCCGUGUAGUC